rnacentral:rRNA from 1 species
GACGAACGCUGGCGGCGUGCUUAACACAUGCAAGUCGAACGGAAAGGCCCUGCUUUUGUGGGGUGCUCGAGUGGCGAACGGGUGAGUAACACGUGAGUAACCUGCCCUUGACUUUGGGAUAACUUCAGGAAACUGGGGCUAAUACCGGAUAGGAGCUCCUGCUGCAUGGUGGGGGUUGGAAAGUUUCGGCGGUUGGGGAUGGACUCGCGGCUUAUCAGCUUGUUGGUGGGGUAGUGGCUUACCAAGGCUUUGACGGGUAGCCGGCCUGAGAGGGUGACCGGCCACAUUGGGACUGAGCUACGGCCCAGACUCCUACGGGAGGCAGCAGUGGGGAGUAUUGCACAAUGGGCGGAAGCCUGAUGCAGCAACGCCGCGUGCGGGAUGACGGCCUUCGGGUUGUAAACCGCUUUCGCCUGUGACGAGGCGUGAGUGACGGUAAUGGGUAAAGAAGCACCGGCUAACUACGUG